CCUCAAAUCAGGUAGGACUACCCGCUGAACUUAA
rnacentral:rRNA from 2 species